rnacentral:rRNA from 1 species
AUGGCGUCAGGAUGAACGCUGGCGGCGUGCCUAACACAUGCAAGUCGAGCGAUUCUCUUCGGAGAAGAGCGGCGGACGGGUGAGUAACGCGUGGGUAACCUGCCUCAUACACAUCGGAUAACAUACCGAAAGGUAUGCUAAUACAGGAUAAUAUAAGAGAUUCACAUGGAUUUCUUAUCAAAGCUCCGGCGGUAUGAGAUGGACCCGCGUCUGAUUAGCUAGUUGGUAAGGUAACGGCUUACCAAGGCGACGAUCAGUAGCCGACCUGAGAGGGUGAUCGGCCACAUUGGAACUGAGACACGGUCCAAACUCCUACGGGAGGCAGCAGUGGGGAAUAUUGCACAAUGGGCGAAAGCCUGAUGCCAGCAACGCCGCGUGAGUGAUGAAGGCCUUCGGGUCGUAAAACUCUGUCCUCAAGGAAGAUAAUGACGGUACUUGAGGAGGAAGCCCCGGCUAACUACGUGCCAGCCGCUGC